rnacentral:tRNA from 1 species
GGGGUUGUAGUGUAACUUGGUUUAUCAUUCGAGGUUUGGGACCUCGCGAUCUCGGUUCAAAUCCGGGCAGCCCCA